GUAAAAAAGUAAUUAAUUUUAUAUCUUAAAUUAACACCCAAGAUCCUUCUUCCUGGGGGAGAAGAAGUCUCUAGAAUAACUGUUUUAGCAUGAAUUGAACUUGCAGUUUGAUUGGCAAUUACUACCAAUAUUUUGCCUUCAAUUCCACAACAAAAGUAGGAAGAGAAGUACUGAACAUUGAAAGAAAUGCAUUACAGAUUUUUGUUUUUAUAUCACAAACUGUAACUAUAGGUACAUAAAAAGGGAUUGGAAAACAAAUCUUGAAAUGUAAACAGAACAAAAAGUUACAGCUGAACAGAUUGGAAGAGGGGCACCAUUCCAU
rnacentral:misc_RNA from 1 species